AUCGCUUCUCGGCCUUUUGGCUAAGAUCAAGUGAAGACAUGGCAUCACGGUUCAAGGCAUCCUUUAUUAAAGUCUUAUAAUUAUCCAUAUAUUGUCCUAGCUUCCUUGUUAGAUUUAUCUUUAGAUGUUUAUAAUUUUGAUACUAUUAUAAUUGAUGUCUACUUCAA
ensembl:snRNA U2 U2 spliceosomal RNA